CUCUGUACUGCACAAUCAACCUCAGUCUACCAGUUAAGUUCCAAGAUCAGACUUCAGAGUAAAUACGGAAUCUCUUAGAGUCUCCUGAUGAAAACAAUAUUCAGAGCCAUCUUUCUGCAAGCGCGGGAGCUGCAUCACUCCUUUGUACCACAUGUUGUCGCAGCUUGUGCCAUCCUCCACAACAAUUGCUUCUGUGCUAGUGACAUUGUGGUCCCAGAGGAGGAGCCAGAGAAAGAUGUAAGAUAUGAGGGGGAAGCUGGUUUGGAAGCCAUCAAUGGUGUUCUUUGGCGGGACCAGCUGUCUGGCGAGGUUUCUGCCCUGGAGGAGAAUAACUACUGUUAACAGCAUCCAUAGACAGCCAGCCCUGCAAACCCUGUUGAUGGACGAUGCGAUGUACAGUGAAGCCACAUCCUGAAACUCUCUCAUCGGACCACCCUGCAAGAUGUUCCAGUCACCAACCAGAAAGUUCUGGGUCUCAGUUGCAGCACCCUAUCAGUGUCGUCAAACUUUGUAAAUAAACGUGUUGGAAUGAAU